rnacentral:rRNA from 1 species
CUCGGGCCGGGAUGUUCCAACCCUUUGUUGUCCGACUCUGUUGCCUCCGGGGCGACCCUGCCUCCGGGCGGGGGCCCCGGGUGGACAUUUCAAACUCUUGCGUAACUUUGCAGUCUGAGUAAAUUUAAUUAAUAAAUUAAAACUUUCAACAACGGAUCUCUUGGUUCUGGCAUCGAUGAAGAACGCAGCGAAAUGCGAUAAGUAAUGUGAAUUGCAGAAUUCAGUGAAUCAUCGAAUCUUUGAACGCACAUUGCGCCCCCUGGUAUUCCGGGGGGCAUGCCUGUUCGAGCGUCAUUUCACCACUCAAGCCUCGCUUGGUAUUGGGCGACGCGGUCCGCCGCGCGCCUCAAAUCGACCGGCUGGGUCUUUCGUCCCCUCAGCGUUGUGGAAACUAUUCGCUAAAGGGUGCCGCGGGAGGCCACGCCGUAAAACAACCCCAUUUCUAAGGUUGACCUCGGAUCAGGUAGGGAUACCCGCUGAACUUAAGCAUAUCUAUAAGCGGCGGAA